GAACAGCAUUACGCGCGGCACUAAGAGUGGUUGAAGCUGUGAACUUCAAUGCGCCCGCCCAAGUGCCGUUCGAAACGGCAGCUUCUUAC
rnacentral:tRNA from 1 species